rnacentral:rRNA from 1 species
GACGUAGGGCGCGAGCGUUGUCCGGAUUUAUUGGGCGUAAAGAGCUCGUAGGCGGCUUGUUGCGUCGACUGUGAAAACCCGCGGCUUAACCGCGGGCUUGCAGUUGAUACGGGCAGGCUAGAGUUCGGUAGGGGAGACUGGAAUUCCUGGUGUAGCGGUGAAAUGCGCAGAUAUCAGGAGGAACACCGAUGGCGAAGGCAGGUCUCUGGGCAUUAACUGACGCUGAGGAGCGAAAGCAUGGGGAGCGAACAGG